AGCUUUAUAGUCAAUAAUGAUAUAAGAUUGCAAAUCUUAAGGGGUAAAAAUUACUAAGGCUU
rnacentral:tRNA from 3 species